rnacentral:misc_RNA from 1 species
GAAACGCGAUAGUUAAUGUGAAUUGCAGAAUUCAGUGAAUCAUCGAGUCUUUGAACGCACAUUGCGCCCAUAGGUAUUCCUUUGGGCAUGUCUGUUUGAGCGUCAUUACAACCCUCAGCUAACCGCUGGUUUUGAACCUGAACGGGUGACACCGCGCCGGUUUUAAAGUUGUAAACUCUGCUGGCCGCUCUGCCCAACCAGAACAUAGUAAGCACUACUUGUCCGGGUGAAGCUGAACGGUACGGCCUGAACAAAACCUACCCACUCUCAAGGUUUGACCUCAGAUCAGACAAGGAUACCCGCUGAACUUAAGC